GAUUAACGCUAGCGGCAGGCAUAAUACAUGCAAGUUGAACGGCAGCACAGGUAGCAAUACUGGGUGGCGAGUGGCGCACGGGUGCGUAACACGUAUGCAACCUACCCUAUACAGGCGAAUAACCUUUAGAAAUGAGGGCUAAUACGCCGUAGUAUUACAGAUGGGCAUCUAUUUGUAAUUAAAGAUUUAUCGGUAUAGGAUGGGCAUGCGUCCCAUUAGUUAGUUGGUAAGGUAACGGCUUACCAAGACGAUGAUGGGUAGGGGAUCUGAGAGGACUUACCCCCACACUGGUACUGAGACACGGACCAGACUCCUACGGGAGGCAGCAGUAAGGAAUAUUGAGCAAUGGCCGCGAGGCUGACCCAGCCAUGCCGCGUGCAGGAAGACGGCCUUAUGGGUUGUAAACUGCUUUUAUACGGGAAUAAUAGAGUGUACGCGUACAUUUAUGCAAGUAUCGUAUGAAUAAGCAUCGGCUAACUCCGUG
rnacentral:rRNA from 1 species